rnacentral:misc_RNA from 1 species
GAUGAAGAACGUAGCGAAAUGCGAUAAGUAAUGUGAAUUGCAGAAUUCAGUGAAUCAUCGAAUCUUUGAACGCACAUUGCGCCCGCCAGUAUUCUGGCGGGCAUGCCUGUCCGAGCGUCAUUUCAACCAUCAAGCCCCCGGGCUUGUGUUGGGGACCUGCGGCUGCCCGCAGGCCCUGAAAACCAGUGGCGGGCCCGCUGUCACACCGAGCGUAGUAGCAAUCACCUCGCUCAGGGCGUGCUGCGGGUUCCGGCCGUUAAACAGCCUUACAAAACCCAAGGUUGACCUCGGAUCAGGUAGGAAGACCCGCUGAACUUAAGCAUAUCAAUAAGCGGAGGA